CCUACGGGAGGCAGCAGUGGGGAAUUUUGGACAAUGGGCGCAAGCCUGAUCCAGCAAUGCCGCGUGAGUGAAGAAGGCCUUCGGGUUGUAAAGCUCUUUUGUCAGGGAAGAAACGGUUGGGGCUAAUAUCCUCAGCUAAUGACGGUACCUGAAGAAUAAGCACCGGCUAACUACGUGCCAGCAGCCGCGGUAAUACGUAGGGUGCAAGCGUUAAUCGGAAUUACUGGGCGUAAAGCGUGCGCAGGCGGUUUUGUAAGUCUGUCGUGAAAGCCCCGGGCUUAACCUGGGAAUUGCGAUGGAGACUGCAAGGCUUGAAUCUGGCAGAGGGGGGUAGAAUUCCACGUGUAGCAGUGAAAUGCGUAGAGAUGUGGAGGAACACCGGUGGCGAAGGCAGCCCCCUGGGUCAAGAUUGACGCUCAUGCACGAAAGCGUGGGGAGCAAACAGGAUUAGAUACCCUGGUAGUCCACGCCCUAAACGAUGUCUACUAGUUGUCGGGUCUUAAUUGACUUGGUAACGCAGCUAACGCGUGAAGUAGACCGCCUGGGGAGUACGGUCGCAAGAUUAAAACUUAAUGAAUUGACGG
rnacentral:rRNA from 1 species